rnacentral:rRNA from 1 species
GAUCAUGCUCAGGAUGAACGCUAGCUACAGGCUUAACACAUGCAAGUCGAGGGGCAGCAUGAACUUAGCUUGCUAAGUUUGAUGGCGACCGGCGCACGGGUGAGUAACACGUAUCCAACCUGCCGAUGACUCGGGGAUAGCCUUUCGAAAGAAAGAUUAAUACCCGAUGGCAUAGUUCUUCCGCAUGGUAGAACUAUUAAAGAAUUUCGGUCAUCGAUGGGGAUGCGUUCCAUUAGG